CUCACCACACCGGAGAUAAUCUGGGAGCUGGUUUGCUAUAUCAGACUGAGUACAGAAGCGAACUGAAAUUGAGUGGAAGUAUGAAGUCUGAGGUAGACAGGAUAGGAACAAGAAGCUCAGUCGAUUAACGGCGCGAAAACAGUGCUUGAGCAGACGCCAUUAUUCACGGAGAUAGUCUCGGUCAAAAUUUCAUUUUAAAGUCGGAUUUCGGGUUUGGGGAACCGUUCUUACACUUCCGUGGUGAAUUGUUUUUUUUUGUCAAAUGUAACAAACUGUAACGUUAACUUAGUUGCUGUCUGCCUUGUUUGGCAAAUAAAUGUCGGAGCUGUCACAUUUUACAUUUUCAGCACACCGUCACAUUUUACUCGACGUGGAGGUCGUUAUUGCUGCGGUACUGUGCAUCCCAAUCACCCCCUGCAUUCUUAUCAUGGACUUGGGAGUUAGGACACUUGGGACUGAAUUUUCAUCAUAAUACCGCAUGAUAAUUGUAGCAAAAUGCAGUGGGAAUUUGAGGAUGCAUUCUGAGCCAAAGGUGCAGCAAAAGUCGUCCUGUGAAGAAAUCCUAAACGAGGGUCAAAGGUUCAGAUGAAGGGAACCUACACUUUCAAGAUUCAUGUAUGAACAACUCUGAGAAUCCAUGUACAAUUUGAGGUUUUUUCAAAUCUCAACAUGGAACUUGGACUGAACAGGCAGCAAAAGAAAAAAAAAAAAAGUAGUUUCCUCAAGCUGGCACAUGGCAAGAGAUACUAAAAGCACACAAACACUUGGAGCCCUGCUCUUAAUUUAGAUUGUAUAGUUCUCUUAGUUUCACAUUGAAAUGUCAGGCAUGAGUGCAUGCAUCUUUGUUCUUUAUUUAAUGCUGUACAAAAAGGUUUUUUUGCAGUACCAUGUCAGUUGUAGAUGACAGAAUUCACAUUUUUUCACAUUCACAACUGUCCUUUUAAAUAACAUUUCACUUGACUAAGUCUAUAGCAAUUGUUAUUAAUGACAGCCCUGUCUUUGUAUAAGUUUUGAUGUAUCUGAAAAUGUUUUGAAUCUUGACUGUUUCACAGUGAAGUUCAUCUUUGUGACCACUAUUUGGUGCAACAUCAAUACCGUACAAGUACCUGCUCAUGUUUUCUUUUUUCUGCCAGUUGCUGUUUAAAACUAAAAUGUUUUCCACAAUACACGCAUUUUCAAUGGUGCUUUACACAUUGUUAAAUUAAUUGAUGCCAUAAUAUGUUCACCUGUUAAAGGCAAAUAAAAGCUACUGAACACACUUUGAAGAAUGUUUA